AAAGCUGCCAGCCACACUUUGCCAGUUCCCACAUUACUUAAGCCAACCCAAUACCAGAAGGCAGUUCAGAAAGCCAGCUAUAUUAAUAAAAUGUAAUCGCAAUGAACUGAAUAUUUUGGUCAACCAAUAAAAAGCGGAAAAUCACACCUUUUAAAUUUACUGACAUAAGCCGAGGACACAAAGCUCUAGAAGAAGAAAGGCGACGGCGACGACGACGGCGACGGCGACGGCGAAAAAGCGGAAGACUGGAAGAGCGGAAAAGCGGAAAAACGGAAGAGCGGAAAAACGAGAGGAAGUGGCGAGGAGCGCGAGAGCGAAGUGAACUUUCCGCUGAAUUGCAAAAAUAUGCAAAGAAAUCAAGUAUCUUCCAGCUGAAUGGAGACUCCACUCUGCUCGACUUCACUCAAAUGGGCAAUUUAAUUAUACGGAAAUCACACAGAAUUCAUCUAAUUAGUUUGGCGUUUUAAUUGCCCGGGGGAGACCGCUGGAGGACACUUGUCUCCACUCCACUAGCUGCCAUAAAUAAUGUCAUCUCGGUCUGGAGCCGGAGAGCCGGAACUGAAACUGAAACAGAAACUGAAACAGGAGCCAAAGGACACGAAGGAGUCUGACUCCUCCUGCCGCCGCUUCAAUUGUAUCUGUGCCUUGGAAAUAUUUCAAUAAUAAUUCCUUCCAUUUGUGAUAUUAAAAAAUAUACCCGCGCUGGCAUUUGUAGCCGUAUUUGCGUAUUUCCCUA